GACGAACCGUGCAAACGUUAUUCGGAAUCACUGGGCUUAAAGGGCGCGUAGGCGGGCUCGCCAGCCAGGGGUGAAAGCCCACGGCUCAACCGUGGAAGUGCCUUUGAUACUGCGAGUCUCGAGGGAGGUAGGGGCGUGCGGAACUUCCGGUGGAGCGGUGAAAUGCGUAGAUAUCGGAAGGAACAUCGGUGGCGAAAGCGGCGCGCUGGACCUCUUCUGACGCUGAGGCGCGAAAGCCAGGGGAGCAAACGGG
rnacentral:rRNA from 1 species